rnacentral:rRNA from 1 species
UAGGGAAUCUUCGGCAAUGGACGAAAGUCUGACCGAGCAACGCCGCGUGAGUGAAGAAGGUUUUCGGAUCGUAAAACUCUGUUGUUAGAGAAGAACAAGGACGUUAGUAACUGAACGUCCCCUGACGGUAUCUAACCAGAAAGCCACGGCUAACUACGUGCCAGCAGCCGCGGUAAUACGUAGGUGGCAAGCGUUGUCCGGGUUUAUUGGGCGUAAAGCGAGCGCAGGCGGUUUCUUAAGUCUGAUGUGAAAGCCCCCGGCUCAACCGGGGAGGGUCAUUGGAAACUGGGAGACUUGAGUGCAGAAGAGGAGAGUGGAAUUCCAUGUGUAGCGGUGAAAUGCGUAGAUAUAUGGAGGAACACCAGUGGCGAAGGCGGCUCUCUGGUCUGUAUCUGACGCUGAGGCUAGAAAGCGUGGGGAGCAAACAGG